CGACGGACGACCCCGGAUAGAAAUUUAAAUAGUUGUAAAUAGUUUUCGUUUUGUUUCGAUUUUGUAUCGUUUUUUAAUAGUUUGACAGUAAAUAGUUUAACUUCGUAAUACAGUCCACUUUUCUUAGUUGGUUCUCAAUUAGUAAUGUGUCGAGUCCUUAAUUACUGAUUAAUAGGCGUAUGUGGGACGUUGGAGAUGUAUAAAUCAUAGUUUAUUUUAGAAAAACAUAGAAAUGUAUAAUUUGAUAGCCCUUUGUUUUAUGUAUAUCGAUUAAACCUAUAGUUUCGUCUAGUUAUGAAUGUCGAGUCAUAUUUAUAUUAUGUAAAUUAGAUAGAUAAUUAUGUGUAGAUCUUUAUAGUUAUUUACUUUUAAUUGGUGAUAAUCUUAAUUAGCCAUAAAGGCAAUUAAUGUGAAAUAGUGUGGCCAAAUGAGCCCUAAUUUUUGUACAAAUGAUUUAUUUGUAAUUAACCCUGUACCUGUGUACCUUUAUUUACCUAUCGAAUAGUAAGAAGUAAUUUGUCUGAAAAUAAAUAACAUAGAUUCCAAAGAAUAGUGGAAGAGCUAAUUAGAAUCCGAUAAGAAAUAGGUCAAGGACAUAGUUAAAAAAUAGGUCACCGAAUAGAUAAAAAACAGGCUCUCUAUACGGUAUUGCCGCCCAGGGGGGGUCUAAAUUAGAGUGAGAGGCAAAUAGGUUUUCUCGCUCUAAUAAAAGUAAAUAAAUAUCGGGGUGCCAUCCGGACCCAGUCAGUUCCGCGUUUUCUCCUCAACAAGCUACAACACCAAGCUCUCGCCACUGCUCCGAGGAACCGGUCUCAACCACCACAACCAGCGUUAUUAUUUCUGCGCUCCCCGCCCCUCUUCGUCUCGCUCCCCCGCUCGCGCUGCACCCCGCAUCGCGCCGUGUCGGCGUACGGUAUUCAGGGUCCGCACAGGGUUGCUACCCCAUACCGUCCGGCACA